UGUAAAGUGCCUGAAAAAGGAUAAUUUUGAUAGAAUUAAUCAUGUGUUUACACCUUUACAU
rnacentral:tRNA from 1 species